AACGAACGCUGGCGGCAGGCCUAACACAUGCAAGUCGAGCGCGCCCUUCGGGGUGAGCGGCGGAAGGGUGAGUAACGCGUGGGAACGUGCCCUUUUCUACGGAAUAGCCUCGGGAAACUGAGAGUAAUACCGUAUACGCCCUUUGGGGGAAAGAUUUAUCGGAAAAGGAUCGGCCCGCGUUGGAUUAGGUAGUUGGUGGGGUAAUGGCCUACCAAGCCGACGCUCCUUAGCUGGUUUGAGAGGAUGAUCAGCCACACUGGGACUGAGACACGGCCCAGACUCCUACGGGAGGCAGCAGUGGGGAAUCUUAGACAAUGGGGGCAACCCUGAUCUAGCCAUGCCGCGUGAGUGAUGAAGGCCUUAGGGUUGUAAAGCUCUUUCAGCUGGGAAGAUAAUGACGGUACCAGCAGAAGAAGCCCCGGCUAACUCCGUG
rnacentral:rRNA from 1 species